AUUGAACGCUGGCGGCAUGCCUUACACAUGCAAGUCGAACGGCAGCGGGGACUUCGGUCCGCCGGCGAGUGGCGAACGGGUGAGUAAUGUAUCGGAACGUACCUUUCAGUGGGGGAUAACGUAGCGAAAGUUACGCUAAUACCGCAUAUUCUCUGAGGAGGAAAGCAGGGGACCUUCGGGCCUUGUGCUGAUGGAGCGGCCGAUAUCAGAUUAGCUAGUUGGUGAGGUAAAGGCUCACCAAGGCGACGAUCUGUAGCGGGUCUGAGAGGAUGAUCCGCCACACUAGAACUGAGACACGGCCCAGACUCCUACGGGAGGCAGCAGUGGGGAAUUUUGGACAAUGGGCGCAAGCCUGAUUCAGCCAUGCCGCGUGAGUGAAUAAGGCCUUCGGGUUGUAAAGCUCUUUCGGACGGGAAGAAAUUGGUGGGGCUAAUAUCCCCAUCGGAUGACGGUACCGUAAUAAGAAGCACCGGCUAACUACGUGCCAGCCGCCGCCGUAACAC
rnacentral:rRNA from 1 species